ACCAGUGCCAAGUACAGGAUCGUGCUGACCACACUAUUUCUGACACGGGCCAGGAUGCCAUCGGCCUUCUUGGCUGCCUGACCACACUGCUGGCUCACGUUUGUUCAUCGAUGUCACCAGGUGUUGUCUCAGCCCUCUCCUCCUCUGGCCCAGUACUUGGGGCUUCCACAGAGAGCUGCCAGAGGAAAGCCAAGGGGACAAGCCAGGCUGUGGCUGGUGCCACAGUUUGGUGUCACAGCAGGCACAGAAUACUCUGGAAAAGCAAAGGUCUCAAGAAAACAUCAUAAAUGAGGAGCUACAGCAUAAAUAAAACUGGAUCUGAAAUACUAUUUCAACAUUUUUGAGGUAUUUUGAAGUACUGUCAGACAGGAGAUGACACAUGAUUCAAGCUUCAAAUCUGUUGUUCCCCAUUGUUGAGAAUAUUCUUGGUUUCCCAUCAAGUACGUACCAUGAAUUCUGAAGUAUUUUGAUAAAAUCUUGUACUUUCCUGCUCAUUCCUCAUCAUUGUUUAACCACUUAUUUUUUGACUUAAAUAAAAUGAACAUGUUGUUCAGGAGCUCAGCAGCAGAUUACUUAUUGUAAGAUCAAAUUGUAAGUUUGAUCCAUUAUCAAAUCAGUAGACAUACGGUGGAACUAAAAUUAGCUAUGUGUUUUGGAAGAAGCUGUCAUGUCAUAAUAGGUUGUGAUAGACACUCCAGACUUUCUAAAUAAUGCUUGUCGGCAGCUUUUCAUUCUACUUUUGAAACUGCUGUGACCUAAAAGUUUGUGAUGUAGGCAAGCAAUCAUUUCCUCAUGUUAAGAGAAGCAGUUGUCUUAAAUCUACGCACAGAUCUGAUAAGUAGCAAUAAAAUAGUCCUCUUGCUGAUUGAUCAGAUAUUUUACCAUAAACUGUACCUAUCUUACUAUUUAUAGGAAGCACUCUGGCAAAUAAUUAUGUCAUCCCUUUUAUUUCCCAAUAAACGCUGAGCUGUUUGUUUUCA